rnacentral:rRNA from 1 species
AUGCAUUCUAAGCAUGAGCCGAAUUAUGGUGAAGCCGCGAAUGGCUCAUUACAACAGCCGUUGUUUCUUGGAUCUUGAUUUACUUGGAUAACUGUGGUAAUUCUAGAGCUAAUACAUGCAACGAAGCUCCAACCUCGCGGAAGGAGCGCAUUUAUUAGACCAAAACCAAUCGGGCUUUGCCCGUGAUCUGGUGACUCUGAAUAACUUUGCUGAUCACACGGUCCUAGCACCGGUGACAUAUCUUUCAAGUGUCUG